AGAGUUUGAUCCUGGCUCAGGAUGAACGCUAGCGGCAGGCUUAACACAUGCAAGUCGAGGGGCAGCAUAAUGGAUAGCAAUAUCUAUGGUGGCGACCGGCGCACGGGUGCGUAACGCGUAUGCAACCUACCUUUAACAGGGGGAUAACACUGAGAAAUUGGUACUAAUACCCCAUAAUACCAUAAAAGAUGCCUUCUAUGAUAUUAUGGUUGAAAAUUCCGAUGGUUAGAGAUGGGCAUGCGUUGUAUUAGCUAGUUGGUGGGGUAACGGCUCACCAAGGCGACGAUACAUAGGGGGACUGAGAGGUUAACCCCCCACACUGGUACUGAGACACGGACCAGACUCCUACGGGAGGCAGCAGUGAGGAAUAUUGGUCAAUGGACGCAAGUCUGAACCAGCCAUGCCGCGUGCAGGAUGACGGCUCUAUGAGUUGUAAACUGCUUUUGUACGAGGGUAAACGCAGAUACGUGUAUCUGUCUGAAAGUAUCGUACGAAUAAGGAUCGGCUAACUCCGUGCCAGCAGCCGCGGUAAUACGGAGGAUUCAAGCGUUAUCCGGAUUUAUUGGGUUUAAAGGGUGCGUAGGCGGUUUGAUAAGUUAGAGGUGAAAUUUCGGGGCUCAACCCUGAACGUGCCUCUAAUACUGUUGAGCUAGAGAGUAGUUGCGGUAGGCGGAAUGUAUGGUGUAGCGGUGAAAUGCUUAGAGAUCAUACAGAACACCGAUUGCGAAGGCAGCUUACCAAACUAUAUCUGACGUUGAGGCACGAAAGCGUGGGGAGCAAACAGGAUUAGAUACCCUGGUAGUCCACGCAGUAAACGAUGAUAACUCGUUGUCGGCGAUACACAGUCGGUGACUAAGCGAAAGCGAUAAGUUAUCCACCUGGGGAGUACGUUCGCAAGAAUGAAACUCAAAGGAAUUGACGGGGGCCCGCACAAGCGGAGGAACAUGUG
rnacentral:rRNA from 1 species